rnacentral:misc_RNA from 1 species
AUUAAGCUUAUGUGGUUAAAUUUUUUUACAUGUUUGGGAGUUGAGACCAUCAAAGACAUUGACUAAUUUAUUAGAGGUUGGUGAGAAGUGUUAUCAACUUGGAAAAUUUUCCUUUCCAUUUAGUCCCAAAGCCAAAAGUAAGAAAUCACAAAUGGGAAACUUAAUCUAUAAUAACUGCCAAGAGUUAUCAUUGCUUUUCUGUAACUCUCAAUAAUUUUUCAAUG